rnacentral:rRNA from 1 species
ACAUGCUUACAUCAUAACAUUAAUGCACUAUAUCUCAUUAGAACUCUGCAGUUAAGCAUGCUUAGGCUAGAGUAGUACUAAGAUGGGUGACUACCUGGAAAGUCCUAUUUUUUUACACGCC